rnacentral:lncRNA from 1 species
AUAUAUUACAGUACCAUCUCGGCCCAAUCUCAAUCUCGAAUAAAAUUUAAUUAGGGCCUAAUUAUAAUACACCACAUUUGUAAUAUGGGCUACCGGUUUAUAUUCUCUUAAGUAAACAAUUAUAUCAUUUCUAAAAUAAUACGUCCAUUGGGGCCCAAUUAAAAUACGUAAAUCCAUAAAUCCUACAACUGCGGAGUUCAACAAAUAUUUCAAAGGUGGAAUAGUUUAUACAUUUGAUAAUACAAUUGAACUAUUAAUAACAUUGAUGAAUUUACUUUUGUGGCUCUGCGAGAAAGAUUGCAGAGCUCCAAUCAAAUCAGCAGCUUCCCACUACCUGAGAAGUUGGGAUAGAUAGAGGGAUGAGUUUUGCAACUCAGUGAAUAAUAAUAAAUAAUACACACCACAGACAUUCACGCGAAAUGCACUCUAACAUACUGAAUGAUCACACAACCAGUCAAUCAUAUGGCCCAGUAUUAGCACCCACAAAUAAUAUCACCUUCAAAUAAUCAAGCAAGUGGAAAUUAGUCAGUGGCGCCACCUGAAACCCCAACAAGCCGUCCUCUCACAUAGCCCUUCCUCUCAAACGUGUGCACCAGGGAGCCGAUCCUCAUACCUACCCGACUAGUCUAAUCCUCACUUGACCAGCUCUCUCAUUAUUUUUCCAAUCUCUCUUUUCUUUUUCCAUAUUAUGCAUAUAAUGUAAUCAGAUGCACACGGGGGCGCCGAUCUCCCAUACCCGGCCGACGAUCAAAUUCCAUAAUUCCAUAAUUUCAUUCAAGAUCCAUAUCACAUAGACCGUCCUUGCAAAUCCCUGGUAACCACCCACUUUAUCCUAAUUCCACACAAACAAAGCACAGCAUAUUCACAGUACAAUUAAUCAAACAAUUCAAUCAACAUAUUAUGCCAAAUCCACUUCAAUGCACAAUCAUAAAAAUAUAAUUAUACGUGAUAGUUACAUAAUAUAUUUAUAAGAUUCGCAUAAUAAUAAUAAUAUAGUAAUAGUAUAUAAUAAUAUAAAUAAAUAGUAUAUAAAUAUAUAAUAUUUAUAAAAUAAAUAUUAUGUCAAUGCAGUACUGAUAUGUAUUAUUUAUUAUUACUCACAGUGGUAGGAACUGAAUCUCUAACUCUGAUUCUGACCGGAUGGAACAAUAAAUGGACCCGGAUAAUCUAAGAAAUUUAAGAAUGACACCGAAAAAGAAUUAUAUCAUAUAAAAUAUUUAUUAGAUGUUCUAAUAAUUUACCUACAUAUUUAAUUUCUAUAAAAAAUUUAAUUUCUACCGAAAUUUCGACAACACUUUCCUUAAAAAUUAACUAUUCCUUAAAAAUUAACUAUCCACCAAUCAAGUCAUUCAAUUAUUUUCAGGUUCUCACAGCCCAUCUAUCAGCAAUCGACCAAGUCAUUUAUUCCCAUCCUCCAUAUUCUCCGUAUCAACAAUAUCUUAUUAAUUUUUAUUUAAUUCCACAAAUCAUAAUUUCCUAAUAAUUUAUUUAAUUUUAAUUAAUCAAGUAAUUUUAAUUAAUCAAUAAUUCAAUACCUAAUUUUAAUUUAAAUUAGUUAACCCAAAAUUACUAAAAUAAAUUCUGAGAAUCAGCAAAAAUUGAUUUAUACCCCAAAAAUAAUUUUUCUUGUCGGAUUUCGCUAGAUCGAGAUUUACGCGUGCCGGAUCGCGCACUGGGACCGCAAGCGGGUGGCCGGAGUCGGGCUGGAGUGGCUGGACCACCUGGAACUGGCGCGAAAGAGGGAGGAGAUCGACUAUGGCGUGGCGGCAGAGGGUUGGUAGUGGCGUAUUGGGCUGGAGGACGACUGGGACUGCGCUACCUGGUCGAGGAUGGAGCAGAGUCACUGGCGGAGCUGCUGCGACGUCGAGCUGCAGCAAGGUGGCGCGGGAGGAGUUCCGAUCUAGCUGGUGUCGCCGCUGCUGCUUGGAGCUUCGCCAGUCACAGAUGCAGAAGCGGACACAGACGCAGGCGCAGGGAGAAGAAAGAAGAAAGAAGGAAAAAGAAAGAAAGAGGAGGAGGAGGUGGAGCUGUGGCAAUGUCGGUGGUGCUGCGUGGGUGGUCGGGAGGCGCAAGGCUUGGGGAGUGAGGUGAGUUGAGCGUUAAAGAUAAAGGAAAGAAGAGGUUCUAGAUGGUUUGGGCUGAUUCGGUUCGAUUCCGGUUCGAUUCAGCCCAAAUCUCGAUUUUUUUUUCAAUUGGUUUUCGAUUAGGUUUAUCACUGAACAAAUUAUUAAUUUGCAUUUAACUAAUUAAGUAAAUUUUCUGGUGUGUCGGUUUAUUAAGUUUAAAUGAAAAUCUUUGAAAAUAAAAAUUUGGAUUAUUUCAAAUAUGCAUAAAUCAGAUGUUACAUGCACUUAGCAAAUUGAAUGGUUAGAUUAUGUUAUAACUGCAUUCUUG